rnacentral:rRNA from 1 species
GACGAACCGAGCGAACGUUAUUCGGAAUCACUGGGCUUAAAGGGCGCGUAGGCGGGCGGCCAAGUCAGGGGUGAAAGCCCCCAGCUCAACUGGGGAAGUGCCUCUGAUACUGGUCAUCUCGAGGGAGAUAGGGGCGUGCGGAACUUCCGGUGGAGCGGUGAAAUGCGUAGAGAUGUGGAGGAACACCAAUGGCGAAGGCAGCCUUCUGGGCCAACACUGACGCUCAUGCACGAAAGCGUGGGGAGCAAACAGG